GUCCCUGUUGGGUUCAUUUUCUGGGAUUGUUUGAUUCCCCCGUCUGAAAAGAACAUGACUUGAGUUGUUCUGUUCUUUGUCUGCUUCCUCUUGGGCUUUUGAAAAGACUGUGGCCUUUUCUUCACCUGUUAGGAGUACACUGAGGAGACUCUGGAUGUCAGCCCAGAUCAGAAAGGGUAAAUGAGACAUGUACGUGGAUGAGCCCUCUUUCUCCAUCAGGGACCUGCCUCAAAGAAAGUACUUUCCCUGGUGGGUUGUUGGACCCUGGCUGGAAUGUGCUUGAUAACAUCAGGGUGGAUUUCAGCAGCUGCUGUGACAAUGCCUGAGAGUUACCACAGAAGUUUCACUUCUGUACCGAG
ensembl:lncRNA